GCAGUGGUGGCUUAAUGGUAGAGCCCUUGCCUCCCAUGCGGGAGACCUAGGUUUAAUUCUCAGCCAACGCA
rnacentral:tRNA from 1 species